UCUAAUACCGGAUAGGACCACGGGAUUCAUGUCCUGUGGUGGAAAGCUUUUGCGGUGUGGGAUGGGCCCGCGGCCUAUCAGCUUGUUGGUGGGGUAACGGCCUACCAAGGCGACGACGGGUAGCCGGCCUGAGAGGGUGUCCGGCCACACUGGGACUGAGAUACGGCCCAGACUCCUACGGGAGGCAGCAGUGGGGAAUAUUGCACAAUGGGCGCAAGCCUGAUGCAGCGACGCCGCGUGGGGGAUGACGGCCUUCGGGUUGUAAACCUCUUUCACCAUCGACGAAGGUUCGGGUUUUCUCGGAUUGACGGUAGAUGGAGAAGAAGCACCGGCCAACUACGUGCCAGCAGCCGCGGUAAUACGUAGGGUGCGAGCGUUGUCCGGAAUUACUGGGCGUAAAGAGCUCGUAGGUGGUUUGUCGCGUUGUUCGUGAAAUCUCACGGCUUAACUGUGAGCGUGCGGGCGAUACGGGCAGACUAGAGUACUGCAGGGGAGACUGGAAUUCCUGGUGUAGCGGUGGAAUGCGCAGAUAUCAGGAGGAACACCGGUGGCGAAGGCGGGUCUCUGGGCAGUAACUGACGCUGAGGAGCGAAAGCGUGGGGAGCGAACAGGAUUAGAUACCCUGGUAGUCCACGCCGUAAACGGUGGGUACUAGGUGUGGGUUUCCUUCCUUGGGAUCCGUGCCGUAGCUAACGCAUUAAGUACCCCGCCUGGGGAGUACGGCCGCAAGGCUAAAACUCAAAGGAAUUGACGGGGGCCCGCACAAGCGGCGGACGCAUGUGGAUUAAUUCGAUGCGACGCGAAGAACCU
rnacentral:rRNA from 1 species